GACAGAGGGUGCAAACGUUGUUCGGAAUUACUGGGCGUAAAGGGCUCGUAGGUGGCCAACUAAGUCAGACGUGAAAUCCCUCGGCUUAACCGGGGAACUGCGUCUGAUACUGGUUGGCUUGAGAUUGGGAGAGGGACGCGGAAUUCCAGGUGUAGCGGUGAAAUGCGCAGAUAUCAGGAGGAACACCAAUGGCGAAGGCAGCUCACUGGGACGGUAUUGACGCUGAGACGCGAAAGCGUGGGGAGCAAACAGG
rnacentral:rRNA from 1 species